rnacentral:rRNA from 1 species
AUUGAACGCUGGCGGCAGGCCUAACACAUGCAAGUAGAACGAGUGGCGGACGGGUGAGUAAUGUCUGGGAAACUGCCUGAUGGAGGGGAAUAACUACUGGAAACGGUAGCUAAUACCGCAUACCAUCAGAUGUGCCCAGAUGGGAUUAGCUCGUGGGUGGGGUAACGGCUCAACAGGGCGACGAUCCAUAGCUGGUCUGAGAGGAUGACCAUCAACCACGGAACUAGGACAAGGUACAGACUCCGACGGGAGGCAGCAGGGGGGAAGAUUGCACAAUGUGCGCAAGCCUGAUGCAGCCAGGCCGCGUGUAUGAAGAAGGCCGUCGGGUUGUAAAGUACUUUCAGCGGGGAGGCGUUACCCGCAGAAGAAGCACCGGCUAACUCCGUGCCAGCAGCCGCGGUAAUUC